AUGCAACCUUCCCUCUAUUCUUUCAGUUGUUCGCAGCUUCUUUAUCUGCGGUUAUUGCCAACAGCGUCUAAUCCCAGAGCUUCUAUUUACUCAAGACCAGAUAUGCAUUCAGUUAGCUUUCUAGCAGCGGUAAUGCCAUCAAGAGCGUCAAGGCUUAGAGCUUCUUUUCAAGCUGCCUAUUCUGUGUUUGGGUUAACUAUUGAUUCAAUUGUGACAAGAGCGUAUUCUUUCCUUUCAAAGAGGGCAUUCGAUGCCUAUUCUUUUCUUAUUGAUCCUUACUUUCCCUUUACUUCGUCUAAAAAGGCUCGAGAAGGCCUAUCUUUAAUUUAA